rnacentral:rRNA from 1 species
UCUUUUAUCUUUUAAAAGACCUAGUAAUAGGUAUGCUUUAGGAGGGGCUUGCGCCAUAUUAGUUAGUUGGUAGGGUAAUGGCCUACCAAGACGAUGAUGUGUAGCUGGACUGAGAGGUUGAACAGCCACAUUGGGACUGAGACACGGCCCAAACUCCUACGGGAGGCAGCAGUAGGGAAUUUUCGGCAAUGGAGGAAACUCUGACCGAGCAACGCCGCGUGAAUGACGAAGUACUUCGGUAUGUAAAGUUCUUUUAUCAAGGAAGAAAAGCAAAUGGCGAACCAUUUGUUUGCCGGUACUUGAUGAAUAAGCCCCGGCUAAUUAUGUGCCAGCAGCCGCGGUAAGACAUAAGGGGCAAGUGUUAUCCGGAAUUAUUGGGCGUAAAGGGUGCGUAGGCGGUCUAGUAAGUCAGUGGUGUAAUGGCAACGCUUAACGUUGUCCGGCUAUUGAAACUGCUAAACUUGAGUUAGAUAGAGGCGAGUGGAAUUCCAUGUGUAGCGGUAAAAUGCGUAAAUAUAUGGAGGAACACCAGAGGCGUAGGCGGCUCGCUGGGUCUUAACUGACGCUGAGGCACGAAAGCGUGGGGAGCAAACAGGAUUAGAUACCCUGGUAGUCCACGCCGUAAACGAUGAGUACUAAGUGUCGGGUUAAACCGGUACUGAAGUUAACACAUUAAGUACUCCGCCUGAGUAGUACGUACGCAAGUAUGAAACUUAAAGGAAUUGACGGGACUCCGCACAAGCGGUGGAUCAUGUUGUUUAAUUCGAAGAUACCCGAAAAACCUUACCAGGUCUUGACAUGUUUUUGCAAAAUGAUAGUAAUAUCGUGGAGGUUACCAGAAACACAGGUGGUGCAUGGUUGUCGUCAGCUCGUGUCGUGAGAUGUUAGGUUAAGUCCUAAAACGAGCGAAACCCUUAUCGUUAGUUGCCAGCACGUUAUGGUGGGGACUUUAACGAGACUGCCAAUGAUAAAUUGGAGGAAGGUGAGGAUCACGUCAAAUCAGCAUGCCCCUUAUGACCUGGGCUACAAACGUGAUACAAUGGCUGUUACAAAGGGUAGCUGAAACGCAAGUUCUUGGCCAAUCCCCAAAAACA